AAUAUCAAUUGUUAGGUGAGGCUCCUAUAAAGAUAUAUGCUGCUACCCAGAAAAAUCGAGAGAUUCCAAUGGGUUAACAGAAAUAAUCGUGAAGGUUUUUUCUAACGUAGCUGACAAUAGUCAAAGCUUUGUAGUGCUAAAGCUCAACGAUAAAGAAAUAAU
rnacentral:sRNA from 2 species